rnacentral:rRNA from 1 species
AACGAACGCUGGCGGCAGGCUUAACACAUGCAAGUCGCGCGCCUCGCAAGGGGAGCGGCGGACGGGUGAGUAACGCGUAGGAAUGUGUCCAGAGGUGGGGGACAACCCCGGGAAACUGGGGCUAAUACCGCAUAUGUCCUGAGGGACAAAGCAGUAAUGCGCCUUUGGAGCAGCCUGCGUCCGAUUAGGUAGUUGGUGGGGUAAUGGCCUACCAAGCCUGCGAUCGGUAGCUGGUCUGAGAGGAUGAUCAGCCACACUGGGACUGAGACACGGCCCAGACUCCUACGGGAGGCAGCAGUGGGGAAUAUUGGACAAUGGGCGCAAGCCUGAUCCAGCAAUGCCGCGUGGGUGAAGAAGGUCUUCGGAUCGUAAAGCCCUUUCGACAGGGACGAUGAUGACGGUACCUGUAGAAGAAGCCCCGGCUAACUUCGUGCCAGCAGCCGCAGUAAGAC